rnacentral:rRNA from 1 species
CAAUAGCGUAUACUAACGUUGUUGCAGUUAAAAAGCUCGUAGUUGAACUUCUGGUAGGAGUGUCCCGGCCUUUUUGUUUUUACAAAUUGUAUGCUGUGUGACAUCUCUGGCCAUCCUUCUUCUUUGUUUAAAGAAGAUCUUUCACUGUAAAAAAAUUAGGGUGUUCAAAGCAAAAGUUUCUUUGGAAUAUAUUAGUAUGGGAUGAUAAGAUAGGCUCUAGAUGCUAUUUUGUUGGUUUGCACAUUUAGAGAAUGAUUAACAGGGACAGUUGGGGGUAUUCGUAUUUACAUGUCAGAGGUGAAAUUCUUGGAUUUUGGAAAGACGAACUACUGCGAAAGCAUUUACCAAGGAUGUUUUCAUUAA